rnacentral:rRNA from 2 species
UAAGGGACGAAAGCGUGGGGAGCAAACAGGAUUAGAUACCCUGGUAGUCCACGCCGUAAACGAUGAUCAUUAGUUGGUGGCAAAAGUCACUAACACAGCUAACGCGUUAAAUGAUCCGCCUGAGUAGUAUGCUCGCAAGAGUGAAACUUAAAGGAAUUGACGGGAACCCGCACAAGCGGUGGAGCAUGUGGUUUAAUUUGAAGAUACGCGUAGAACCUUACCCACUCUUGACAUUCUCGCAAAACUAUAGAGAUAUAGCCGAGGCUAACGAGAUCACAGAUGGUGCAUGGUUGUCGUCAGCUCGUGUCGUGAGAUGUUAGGUUAAGUCCUGCAACGAGCGCAACCCUUUUCUUUAGUUGCUAACAUUUAGUUGAGAACCCUAAAGAUACUGCCGGCGCAAGCCGGAGGAAGGUGGGGACGACGUCAAAUCAUCAUGCCUCUUACGAGUGGGGCAACACACGUGCUACAAUGGCUACUACAAAGAGCAGCAAAACAGUGAUGUCAAGCUAAUCUCAAAAAAGUAGUCUCAGUUCGGAUUGAAGUCUGCAACUCGACUUCAUGAAGUCGGAAUCGCUAGUAAUCGCAGGUCAGCUAUACUGCGGUGAAUACGUUCUCGGGUUUUGUACACACCGCCCGUCACACCAUGGGAGUUGGUAAUGCCCAAAGUCGGUGAGUUAACUUCGGAGACCAUUGCCUAAGGCAGGACCGAUGACUGGGG